rnacentral:rRNA from 1 species
GAUGAACGCUAGCGGCAGGCCUAAUACAUGCAAGUCGAACGGUAAGGCCCUUUCGGGGUACGACGAGUGGCGGACGGGUGCGUAACGCGUAUGCAACAUGCCUUCCAGCGGGGGAUAUACCAGGGAAACUUGGCGCAAUACCCCAUAGAAUUACGGGACCGCAUGGUCUUGUGAUUAAAACUCCGGUGCUGGGAGAUUGGCAUGCGUGACAUUAGCUAGUUGGCGGGGUAACGGCCCACCAAGGCGACGAUGUCUAGCUGGUCUGAGAGGAUGAUCAGCCACACUGGGACUGAGACACGGCCCAGACUCCUACGGGAGGCAGCAGUAGGGAAUAUUGGACAAUGGGGGAAACCCUGAUCCAGCAACGCCGCGUGGAGGAUGAAGGUCUUCGGAUUGUAAACUCCUAGUUAGGGGGGGCGAAGGGUCGCUGGUGAAUAUCCAGCGAACUUGACGGUACCCCCAGAGGAAGCCCCCGGACUAACUCUGUGCCAGCAGCCGCGGUAAAGUCGA